AGUGGGUCAGCCAGCAUAAACUUGUUGGUUACGUGUCAAGAAAGUACUACAAGUUUCCUCUCCACUUCUCAGGCAAGAGCGCAAUGAGUCAAGUGUCCAAGACUAAGCCCUAAGCUCUAUCUCUCUCUCUCUCGUGCCCCUCUUCCAUUCCCCUCGUGCGCUUCGCCUCGCAUCGCUUCUGUUGUGUGCCCAUCUUGCUCAUCGGCUUUCUUUCUGGAAGAAGAAACAGAAUGAGUGUUGCAGUGGAAUUGUUAGCUACUCGAAACCUUAGCUAUUUGCAGUUAAAGAGAGCUUCUUUAUCUUCUUCAAAGUCCUUGUGUCCUUCUUCGUCUCUAAGGCUCGAACGUUUGCUUAAACCUAGGGGUUACAGAGUUGCGAUUGAAGUUCCUGCUGUUUUUACUCCUAAAGGCCUAGGGAUUGGGAUUGGUUUUCCUUCUCUCCAGCGAAGGAAUUCGUUGAACCGAUCGAUUGUGUCAUUUGCUGCCUCCCACGAAGAAUCGAAGCAUUCAGAAAUUGAAGUGGACAAGGAAAACUAUGGUGAUGAGUUGGGAGCCGAAGAAUCACAAGAAGUUUGGAAAGAGACGCUAGCUUCUUUCAAAGAACAAGCCUUGAAGAUGCAAAGUGUGUCUCAAGAAGCAUACGACGUAUACUCCAAGAAAGCAAUGGUUAUUUUGAAAGAAACAUCGGAGCAGUUGAAAAUUAAAGCAGACAAGGCUAAAAGUGAUCUGGCCGUGCUAGCUAAGGAGGUGACCGAAGAGAGUAAAGAAUUCCUAUCAAUAGCUGCUCAGAAUUCCCCUGAACCAGUGAAGGAGGUUGUGGAAACGUUUGCUUCCUCGACUGAUGAUCUGAAUGAUUUUUCUGGAAUUCAUGACUUCCAUCUUGGAAUACCUUAUGGGCAAAGCUUACAGAGCACCCAACUGGUUGAGCCUCAAAGACAUGUCCAAGCUCUUCUGUUUAGAUGCUUCUCAUCAGUUAACAUGAAGAUGAAAGAAAUAUAUGAUUCUAUGAAUUUUUCCCCGUUAAAUGAAUUCAAUGUUUUUCACGGAUUGCUUUUGCUCUGCAGGUUUGCUUCUUUCUGUUGGUGGCUUUCUUUCCUUUAUGUUGAUGGGCAGCAUUUCUGCUGUUAGGUUUGGUGUCAUUCUUGGUGGUGCUCUUUUGACUUUAAGCAUAUUGAGCUUGAGAUCAUACAAAAAGGGACAACCAUGUACUUCAGUUGUGAAAGGACAGGCAGGAAUAGCAGCCCUAAUCUUUCUUAGGGAGAUAAGAUUGCUGUUUCAGGUAACACUUACACAAGAAAUGCUAUUAUUCAUGUAUCCUUCGCUACAUCAUAUAUUUGAGGCACACUAAUCUUCUUUUAACCUCUAGUUCUUUCUUUCUUGGCAGAAAGCUUCUAUUUUGACCUUUUUCUCAACCGUCAUCAGGUUUAUAAUUCUCUCAUGUUUCUUAAUUUUUGCAUUCUUGUAGUCAAUUUACUACCUUCAAACAGCAAAUCCUUGCUUGGUGUUUGGAUUGCUGAUGGCAAGUUUAGCUUAUAGUAGGAUUUUCAAGUGUGAAAGUAGCUAUUAGGACUAAAGAUGCAGGAGGUUUUAGAUUGGGAGAUAAGAGCUAGAAGUUAAAAGAAUUUGCACUCAAGGUUGAGAUUGCAGGAAUUGUCUGUGAUGGAUGUUUUAUUCUCUAAAUAGAACUUACUCAUAUUUAUACAAUAGCUGCUUGUUUUAUAAUAUGUCAGUUUGUAUAUCUGAUAACUUGUUGUGCUUUGCAGUGGCGCAAUGGUUGCAUUCUUUCUUUAUAGAAUUAAUGUGAAUGGUAAGCAGAACGAAGGAUCAGACAUGGGACAAGGAGCUGAAAAUUGAUGAAUUUGUUGCAGGUUGGUUGGAUUGACAUGUGCCCAUAGAGAUAUGAACACAAAAUGUAAGCUUUCAUCACAAAUACACAACACACACCACAAAAUAAUAAUAAUAACUAAUAAACAUUCAAGUAUUAAUAUAUAAAAACUUGAAUAGUCUUUUAAUGUCUCAAAACUAAACUCAAGCAAUUAUAAAAUAACUCCUCUUCAAUCUUCACCAAAAGUAACAUUAUAAUUUUCUUCAUCUUCUUCUACACCUUC
rnacentral:misc_RNA from 1 species